GCCAGUGUGGUGCAGUGGUUUGAGUGCUGGACUCCAAUUCUGGAGAUCAGGGUUUGAUUCCCCAUUUGGCC